rnacentral:misc_RNA from 1 species
AGCAGCCGCGGUAAUUCCAGCUCCAAUAGCGUAUAUUAAAGUUGUUGCAGUUAAAAAGCUCGUAGUUGAAUUUCGGGGUUCCACCGUUGGUCGGGCUAUUGUCUGUACUGGCGUGUGGAAUUUCUACCUUCUGGGGAACUAUCAUGUUAUUAAUUUAGCGUGGUAGGAAACCAGGACCUUUACCUUGAAAAAAUUAGAGUGUUCAAAGCAGGCUUAUGUCUGAAUACAUUAGCAUGGAAUAAUAAAAUAGGACGGUGGUCCUGUUUUGUUGGUUUCUGAAUCACCGUAAUGAUUAAUAGGGAUAGUUGGGGGCAUUAGUAUUCAAUUGUCAGAGGUGAAAUUCUUGGAUUUAUUGAAGACUAACUACUGCGAAAGCAUUUGCCAAGGAUGUUUUCAUUAAUCAAGAACGAAAGUUAGGGGAUCGAAGACGAUCAGAUACCGUCGUAGUCUUAACCAUAAACUAUGCCGAC